UACGUAGGGGGCAAGCGUUGUCCGGAUUUAUUGGGCGUAAAGAGCGUGUAGGCGGCCAUGUAGGUCCGUUGUGAAAACUCGAGGCUCAACCUCGAGACGCCGAUGGAAACCAUCUGACUAGAGUCCGGAAGAGGAGAGUGGAAUUCCUGGUGUAGCGGUGAAAUGCGCAGAUAUCAGGAAGAACACCCGUGGCUAAGGCGGCUCUCUAGUACGGUACUGACGCUGAGGUGCGAAAAGCGUGGGGAGCAAACAGG
rnacentral:rRNA from 1 species